UACAGAGGUGGCAAGCGUUGUUCGGAAUUACUGGGCGUAAAGGGCGCGUAGGCGGCCUUCUACGUCAGACGUGAAAUCCCCAGGCUUAACCUGGGAACUGCGUCUGAUACUGGAGGGCUUGAGUGCAGGAGAGGGAUGUGGAAUUCCGGUGUAGCGGUGAAAUGCGUAGAUAUCUGGAGGAACACCGGUGGCGAAGGCGGCAUCCUGGACCGACACUGACGCUGAGGCGCGAAAGCUAGGGUAGCAAACGGG
rnacentral:rRNA from 1 species